rnacentral:rRNA from 1 species
GAUGAACGCUGGCGGCGUGCCUAAUACAUGCAAGUCGAGCGAACAGACGAGGAGCUUGCUCCUCUGACGUUAGCGGCGGACGGGUGAGUAACACGUGGAUAACCUACCUAUAAGACUGGGAUAACUUCGGGAAACCGGAGCUAAUACCGGAUAAUAUAUUGAACCGCAUGGUUCAAUAGUGAAAGACGGUUUUGCUGUCACUUAUAGAUGGAUCCGCGCCGCAUUAGCUAGUUGGUAAGGUAACGGCUUACCAAGGCGACGAUGCGUAGCCGACCUGAGAGGGUGAUCGGCCACACUGGAACUGAGACACGGUCCAGGCGCCUACGGGAGGCAGCAGUAGGGAAUCUGCCGCAAUGGGCGAAAGCCUGACGGAGCAACGCCGCGUGAGUGAUGAAGGUCUUCGGAUCGUAAAACUCUGUUAUUAGGGAAGAACAAAUGUGUAAGUAACUAUGCACGGCUUGACGGUACCUAAUCAGAAAGCCACGGCUAACUACGUG